UCCUGCCUGCCUUCUGCUUUGUCAGGUGGUGCUCUCCUUCCAUGGGUGUAGCCAGAGAGGUCGAGGUGCUGGCUGCUCAGAGGGGAGUGGACAGACAGGCCCGGGGU
rnacentral:pre_miRNA from 1 species